rnacentral:rRNA from 1 species
CCUACGGGAGGCUGCAGUGGGGAAUAUUGCACAAUGGGGGAAACCCUGAUGCAGCGACGCCGCGUGAGUGAAGAAGUAAUUCGUUAUGUAAAGCUCUAUCAGCAGGGAAGAAAAUGACGGUACCUGAGUAAGAAGCCCCGGCUAACUACGUGCCAGCAGCCGCGGUAAUACGUAGGGGGCAAGCGUUAUCCGGAUUUACUGGGUGUAAAGGGAGCGUAGACGGCAGUGCAGGUCUGGAGUGAAAGGCGGGGGCUCAACCCCCGGACUGCUCUGGAAACUGUACGGCUGGAGUGCGGGAGAGGUAAGUGGAAUUCCUAGUGUAGCGAUGAAAUGCGUAGAUAUUAGGAGGAACACCAGUGGCGAAGGCGGCUUACUGGACUGUAACUGACGUUGAGGCUCGAAAGCGUGGGGAGCAAACAGGAUUAGAUACCCGGGUAGUC